rnacentral:rRNA from 1 species
CAGGAUGAACGCUAGCGACAGGCUAACACAUGCAAGUCGAGGGGCAGCAUAGAAGUAGCAAUACUUUGGUGGCGACCGGCGCACGGGUGAGUAACGCGUAUGCAACCUACCUAUCAGAGGGGAAUAACCGGCGAAAGUCGGACUAAUACCGCAUAAAACAGGGGCACCGCAUGGUGAUAUUUGUUAAAGAAAUUCGCUGAUAGAUGGGCAUGCGUUCCAUUUAGGUAGUUGGUGAGGUAACGGCUCACCAAGCCGACGAUGGAUAGGGGAACUGAGAGGUUGGUCCCCCACACUGGUACUGAGACACGGACCAGACUCCUACGGGAGGCAGCAGUGAGGAAUAUUGGUCAAUGGGCGGGAGCCUGAACCAGCCAAGUCGCGUUGAAGGAAGAAGGAUCUAUGGUUCGUAAACUUCUUUUGCAGGGGAAUAAAGUGCAGGACGUGUCCUGUUUUUGUAUGUACCCUGAGAAUAAGGAUCGGCUAACUCCGUGCCAGCCGCAGC